CUUCCUCCCUCUCCCUUUUGUGCAGAAGGAAUCGUCAGCUCUCGCGUUACUCAGAGUUAUUUACCAAUGUGACAAAUGGGUGACAAAUGGUGCAGCGGUGUUUGCUGCCUACCGUGUCCCAGUGCGCGUGCUGUGACAGUGGUUUUGCCAGUCAAACUUUUCAUGCAGAAAGAUGUUUGAAAUAACUUUGCCUCAGGCGACAUGAUUGAAAUGGUAAAAAAAUUUAAAUCGAAACUGUGUCACAAAAUUACUUUGUUAAAUUGCGAAAAAUAAGUACCAUAUUUUCCGGUGUAUAACUCGCAGUUCUUUCUAAAUUUUUCAUUGGUGCGUCUUAUAGAAUGGUGUGACUUAUAGAAGUUUUUUUUUUUUCGAAAAAAUACUGCCAUCAAAGUCGGAUUGGAUGCUAUGACCACGUGAAGCACGCUUGGUUGACCUCCUCUGGCAGUUGCUACAGGUUGUGUGCUUGCUAUGGAGGUGCCGGGUUCUUCUCGUGAUCGAGUUGCCGUGCGCCAUACGAGAAGGACUGAGCAGCAAUGCAAGCAGCAAUAGGCAGACCACAAGUCAACUGACUCCAAUGUCGUGGCAUCUGCAGAUCGCUUUCAAGAUAACACACCACAUCGCUGCGCAGGCUACGCAGUUGCUAACAGAGUACAAGCCGCCCCCGCUCCCUCCCGCGCUGCCUUCCCGCUUUCCUGCGGGAUGAUUCGGCUCACCAUCGCACACUUUCACUUGCACAUACAGCAUAUGGCACAUAGGGCCGAUGUUAUUGCCCUUGGACUUUAUAUGGAACAUCGCAGUGACCACGAUGACAGAAAUGUGCCUGGAGUGUCCAUAUCAUUGAUUGCGCGUGACCUGCGCUCAUGAAGUGAAACAAACGUCACUGUAUUUUUUAAAAUCGCUUAUCGAAUGAACAGGUGCGUCUUAUAUAUACACAGGUGCGACUUAUAUACGUUUUCUUUCAGAAAAACUGCUGUAUUGAGUAGGGUGCAACUUAUAGACCGGAAAAUACAGUACAGUUUUCAAUGCAACUAAGAUGGAAUAGUGAAAUGCACACUUUCCAAUGGAAAGACAUGUAAAGGAAAAUAAAACUUGACGUUUCGGGUCCCGUACUUAUCUCAUAUUUAAACAAGAGCCACUGUUUGCUUUGUGAUCUAGGGUCCCGUACGGGACCUGAAACAUAGUUUUAUUUUUCUUUACACAUCUUUCCAUUGGCGAGUGUUAGUUUUAUUUCACUAUGCUCAUUCCUCGCCAGACGGGUUUCCGUCGAACUCUGGAUUAUAUUAAACUAAGAUGGAAAAUUAAAAUAGCUUGUUACAUUGCAAAUUUCGUUAAAUCAAGGUUCAUUAUAUUGAGGUUUGACUGUAUAUAUCCCUAAAUAAUCAUCUCGGUAAAACAGACUUUAUAACCUCAUUGAUCAGCUUCCAGAAUCCUACAUACUUGAGGGUGAGUUUAAUGCUCACAACACUUUGUGGGGAGACUGGCAAUGUGACGCGAGACGAGAGCAAGCUGGGAGAGGUUUCUUUUGGGAAUCACUUCCUAUACCGAAGAAACGCAAGUGGGGAAUGCGCUCAGAAGGUUAAAAGGACAGCAACCGCAUCCGCUGCCCUUGCUAAAUAAACAAGGAAACAGGUUGGAAGACCAGGCAGACGCUCUUUGUAAACAUUUUGAGUAUGUAUCUAGCUCUGCGCACUAUUCACAGACAUUCCUUAAAUACAAAGAAAUAGACACUGGACCAGAAAUGCAGAGGAAACAAUCUUUAUAACUGUCCAUUCAACAUUGCCGAGCUUAGAGCAGCAUUGAACGUCUGCAAAAGCUCUGCGCUGACAGCAGGUAGGACCAUGUAUGACAUGAUCAAGAACAUGCAUACAGACAAAUUACAUUGCUUGCACUUAACAUUUGGGCAGCCGGACACCUUUCAGCAACAUGCGAAAAGCUAUUGUUAUCCCAAUUUUGAAGCAGGCUAAAGACCCAUCCUUGGUAACAAGCUACCGUCCACUAGUGCUUACAAGCUGCUACUUGUGCCCCCAUCCCACCACUACUCUAACACACAUCCUUAUGGAGUGCCCGGCUGAUCCUCCCCUGCGGGCUCGGAGCUCUUCACAUGGGAGGAAUGGGAGGCCACACUGCACACUAUGGACCCGCACCGGCAGAGGACCGCCACUACGUGGGCUGCAGAUGUGCUGCAGUGACAUGAACUAGCGGAUAUCUAAGUGCAGUGGGGCUGUGCCUGGCCCGGGCUUGCAGCCUACACCAGUGGACAUUAAAGUUUCGUCUCUCUCUCUCUGCCUAUGUAAGCUUUUCGAAAAAAUGAUAAAUCGCAGUCUUUUGCAUUUCCCAGACUCAAA
rnacentral:lncRNA from 1 species